rnacentral:rRNA from 1 species
CGCGCAGGCGGCUUGGCAAGUCAGAUGUGAAAGCCCACGGCUUAACCGUGGACGUGCAUUUGAAACUGUCAGGCUUGAGUAUCAGAGGGGAAAGUGGAAUUCCUGGUGUAGAGGUGAAAUUCGUAGAUAUCAGGAGGAAUACCGGUGGCGAAGGCGACUUUCUGGCUGAAUACUGACGCUGAGGCGCGAAAGCGCGGGGAGCAAACA